rnacentral:lncRNA from 1 species
AUGCGGCCCAAGAACCAGUCCCCGGUGCCCCUGGGACAGGUCCCUGCUGGCAUGCCAUCUCCUCCAACCAUCAGAUGCCUCCUCCCUUGGUGGGGGUGGUGGGCGGGCGAAGGGAGGGUUGGAAUGACCAGACUUCUAUCCUGCCCCCCACCCCGGCCCACCACCCCAGUUCUCUUGUCUCGUCCACUGGGUGUUAGCCACAGCCUGUCCCCAGGCCUCACGGCNCCCCCCCCCGCACCACCCCAGUUCUCUUGGCUCGUCCACUGGGUGUUAGCCACAGCCUGUCCCCAGGCCUCACGGCUGGUUUGGGGGCUGCCACCUAGGCCCGUUGCUUCUCCUUCACCUCUUCAUGUCACUGCUCAUCUCCACGAACCACCUUCCACCGAAAACCGCGCUGCAGGUCAGCCCUGUCCUCGGCACGCUGGCCGUGACCUGGCUGGGUCAGCUGAAGAACCGGAUGGAAGAGGCAGAAAGAAGCCCCCGGAGGAGCGCCGCCCUGUACCACCCAGCCUUCCUUGAUGAUGGUCACCUGGCAUCUCAUGCCCAGCCCUGUGCCUCUUCACUUCUUCCUGCUUUGGGUUGGAAGACGCCAUCUGGAAUCCUCCGUGGAAGGAGAGACCUGGACGCCCGACUCAGCACCCUCCGGCUUUCAAAUCGGCAGACUAGGAUGGAAGUGCCCUUGUGAGCUGGGGGGCCCUUCAAAGGGCCAAGGAAAAAACGCGGGCCGAGGGACCAGCCUCUCAAACGGGCUUCGAGCUCCAAUGACCUUCGCUCACCCCCUUGAAAUGUCUGGAAAACAGAAUGGGCAGAUUUUCUGUCUUCAAAGUUUCCGGCUAAACCUCUUCAAGUUCUUUAUUGUUUGGGACUGAGACACUCAGCAAUGGUAAUGGGUAGUUUCUUUUGUAUUUGCCUUGAAAGGCCAAAAUAUUUUCAUAUUGCUACAGACAAAGCCGUCUAUUUAGAAAUGAACGCCAUGUCUGUCGUUUCCCACUGGGGAGACUGUGUACAACGUGUGUGUGUCUCUGUGUACUCUAGGGUCUUGAAACAGGUUUCUCAUGGGGAUGGCCAUUCACCGGGGUCCGGGGGAAGCGCCUGCCCUGCCAAGGGAGUCUGGGGGAGCCCAGCCCUAACCGCACAUCUGUCCCAGUUUGUUUAGGGCGUGAGCCCCGGGAGGGUCUGGCUGCACUGACAUUCACUGUGCCUGCAUCUGCCAUGUGUAUAUGUUAAGGACCGUAGGUUGUGCCUUGGUGGUCAGCUUGGUGGGAGGAAGCAGAAAGGUCUAAGGUACUGUGGAUGUCCUGUUUUUCUUGUUGGGAAGGUCAUUUUACUGGUAUCUAUUACAUGAUCCAAAUAAUGGACCAUGGAUGGAUGAAUGGAGGCACAAAGAAGUGGAGCAACAAAUAGAUAGGUAAGGAGGUGGGCAAGCCAGGAUGAGAGCACAGUGAACAAGAUCCCGUUUGAUGGCCAGGAGAUUGAUCUAUAAAUCAAUAAAACAUUGAAUCACUGUGUAAAGAGAGCCA